rnacentral:rRNA from 1 species
ACGUAGGAGGCAAACGUUAUUCGGAUUCAUUGGGCGUAAAGAGCGUGUAGGCGGCUUGGUAAGUAGAAUGUGAAAGCCCUUGGCUCAACCUGGAGAGGUCGUUUUAAACUGUUCGGCUAGAGGAUGGUAGAGGAAAGUGGAAUUCCGGGUGUAGCGGUGGAAUGCGCAGAUAUCCGGAGGAACACCGGUGGCGAAAGCGGCCUCCUGGACCUCUCCUGACACUCAGACGCGAGAGCUAGGGUAGCAAACGG